AAUAGGCUUGGUCCUGGCCUUUCUAUUAGCUCUUAGCAGGAUUACACAUGCAAGCAUCCCCGCUCCAGUGAAGACGCCCUACAAAUCAUCAUGACCAAGAGGAGCAAGCAUCAAGCACGCACACGCAGCUCAAAACGCUUUGCCUAGCCACACCCCCACGGGAGACAGCAGUGACAAAUAUUUAGCAAUAAACGAAAGUUCAACUAAGCCAUGCUAUAUUUAGGGUUGGUCAAUUUCGUGCCAGCCACCGCGGUUACACGAUUAACCCCAGCUAAUAGGGAUCGGCGUAGAGGGUGUUUAAGAUCUAACAUAAUAAAGCUAAACUCCACCUAAACUGUAAAACCCUAGCUAAUGUAAAAUAAACUACGAAAGUGGCUUUAAAGCUUCUGAACACACAAUAGCCAAGACCCAAACUGGGAUUAGACACCCCACUAUGCUUGGCCCUAAACCUCAGUAAUUAGAUAACAAAACUACUCGCCAGAAUACUACAAGCAACAGCUUGAAACUCAAAGGACUUGACGGUGCUUUACAUCCCCCUAGAGGAGCCUGUUCCAUAAUCGAUAAACCCCGAUCCACCCUACCCUCUCUUGCUCAGCCUAUAUACCGCCAUCUUCAGCAAACCCUAAUGAAGGCCACAAAGUGAGCGCAAACGCCGCCGCCGCGAAUACGUUAGGUCAAGGUGUAGCCCAUGAGACGGUAAAAAAUGGGCUACAUUUUCUGUUUCAGAAAACCCACGAAAACCCUUAUGAAACUUAAGGGUCCAAGGAGGAUUUAGCAGUAAAUUAAGAAUAGAGUGCUUAAUUGAACCAGGCCAUAAAGCGCGCACACACCGCCCGUCACUCCUCUCAAAUAUAUUUAAGGAAUAUCCUAACUAAACGCCCUAAUAUUUAUAUAGAGAGGAUAAGUCGUAACAUGGUAAGCGUACUGGAAGGUGCGCUUGGAUAAAU
rnacentral:ncRNA from 1 species